GACGAACGCUGGCGGCGUGCUUAACACAUGCAAGUCGAACGGAAAGGCCCUGCUUUUGUGGGGUGCUCGAGUGGCGAACGGGUGAGUAACACGUGAGUAACCUGCCCUUGACUUUGGGAUAACUUCAGGAAACUGGGGCUAAUACCGGAUAGGAGCUCCUGCUGCAUGGUGGGGGUUGGAAAGUUUCGGCGGUUGGGGAUGGACUCGCGGCUUAUCAGCUUGUUGGUGGGGUAGUGGCUUACCAAGGCUUUGACGGGUAGCCGGCCUGUGAGGGUGACCGGCCACAUUGGGACUGAGAUACGGACCAGACUCCUACGGGAGGCAGCAGUGGGGAAUAUUGCACAAUGGGCGGAAGCCUGAUGCAGAAACGCCGCGUGCGGGAUGACGGCCUUCGGGUUGUAAACCGAUUUCGCCUGUGACGAAGCGUGAGUGACGGUAAUGGGUAAAGAAGCACCGGCUAACUACGUG
rnacentral:rRNA from 1 species